rnacentral:rRNA from 1 species
UAGUCCACGCCGUAAACGAUGAGAACUAGAUGUCGGGAGGAUCUGCCUUUCGGUGUCGCAGCUAACGCGUUAAGUUCUCCGCCUGGGGAGUACGCCGGCAACGGUAAAACUCAAAGGAAUUGACGGGGACCCGCACAAGCGGUGGAGCAUGUGGUUUAAUUCGAUGCAACGCGAAGAACCUUACCUGCCCUUGACAUUGACAGAAUCCUGUAGAGAUACGGGAGUGCUUCGGCCUGGAAAACNGGUGCUGCAUGGCUGUCGUCAGCUCGUGUCGUGAGAUGUUGGGUUAAGUCCCGNAACGAGCGCAACCCUUGUCCUUAGUUGCCAGCACGUAAUGGUGGGAACUCUAGGGANACUGCCGGUGACAAACCGGGNGGAAGGUGGGGACGACAUCAAGUCAUCAUGGCCCUUAUGGGGCAGGGGCUACACACGUGCUACAAUGGGCGAAUACAGAGGGGUUNCCAACCAGCAAUGGGUGAGCUAAUCCCUUAAAGCUACGUCGUAGUCCGGGAUCGGGA